GGAAUAUAAGAAAAUGUCUCUUAACUUUUAACUAAAAAAACUAAGAACCGGCUCCUAAAUAAGAGUUUUAAGAAUCGGUUCUUAAAUUUUUUUAGUUAAAAGUUAAGAGACGGUUUCUUAUAUUCU
rfam:Brassica napus, WGS project CCCW01000000 data, contig: 6783